rnacentral:rRNA from 1 species
UAGGGAAUCUUCGGCAAUGGGGGGAACCCUGACCGAGCAAUGCCGCGUGAGUGAAGAAGGUUUUCGGAUCGUAAAGCUCUGUUGUUAAGGAAGAACGAGUGUGAGAAUGGAAAGUUCAUGCUGUGACGGUACUUAACCAGAAAGGGACGGCUAACUACGUGCCAGCAGCCGCGGUAAUACGUAGGUGGCAAGCGUUGUCCGGAUUUAUUGGGCGUAAAGCGAGCGCAGGCGGUCAAUUAAGUCUGAUGUGAAAGCCCCCGGCUCAACCGGGGAGGGUCAUUGGAAACUGGUUGACUUGAGUGCAGAAGAGGAGAGUGGAAUUCCAUGUGUAGCGGUGAAAUGCGUAGAUAUAUGGAGGAACACCAGUGGCGAAGGCGACUCUCUGGUCUGUAACUGACGCUGAGGCUCGAAAGCGUGGGUAGCAAACAGG